UGGUCCUGAAGUCAGACAUGCUGCUGACC
rnacentral:piRNA from 1 species